rnacentral:misc_RNA from 1 species
CGCCCCCCACCCACCCCCUCCCUCCGGGAGUCGGAUGGCGUGAAAGUGGCCGUCCCGGCGUCGGGCUUCGCGGCCUGACUGCGGGUCGGCUGAAAUGGAAGGAAUCUGGCCGCCGUGGUGACACAGUCCGCGAUCGGGUGAUCCGCGCUCCUUCGGGCGCCCGGAAUUUUUCUAAGUGCGUGGCUGCGUCCCCAGUUGGCUCCGGUUACCUCGUGCAGGUCGGGCGCGCCCCCCUUGAAUGGGGCGGCGCGCGUCACGUCACGC